GGACGGAGUAUACCCGUCUAGAGGAUUUACAUAUAUUUCGAGCUCAGUCGACGUCUGGUAUUUCCACCGAGUGACGUGAAUUUAAAAAUUGCUGAAGCUACGAGGAAACAUAAUUCGCAUUGUUCCAAGCCUUAAGGCCGCCACGGUUGCGGUCUGUUACGCCCACGGACCCGCCGAUGGACGGAUGCUGGAAGCGUAGAGUCGUACGGACGGACGGGGAGACUUCGGUGUACCAGCUAAGAAGCGGAGACUAAAGAAACUCGACGGGACAGAGAGCGUCAUUGGAUUCGUAGGAUGAACAUCGACAGGUAAAUCUGAUUCCAAGUAAUGUUUGAAAAAAUUCAAAAAGUGUAAUGUGCAACGAAAAAUUUUCAACGCCAUAAUUAGACGCUUGUCAUGUGACCACCUGUAGCAGAAAUUUAAGGACUACGUCAAAACGAAUUUUUAUAAGUAUGUAAUACCGUUAAAACCUAUAAAAUUUGGACUUCUGUUUAUGGCACAGUCACGUCAUAUCCCAUCGCUUUCAUUGUUUCAAUGGUUUUUAUACGAAUCCCUUGAUCCUCCGUGGAAAUCUAUACCGUAUGCUCAUGACUGAAGUUUAUUCCAAGGACAUAUCCAAACAGAAUAAUAGAAUUUAUUAGAACCCACUUGCCAUUAAAGCAUUGUUCGCCCUUGUGAGUACCGCGAGCCGGCGGGUCUCAUUGUACCCUAUAAUGAAAUUCGUACAAAGGGGUGUAGCCCACAAAACAUGUGUGGGGUAGAUGGGGACGAGAGACGAAUGUCUCAUGCAGGGCAACCCGAUCUCAUGUGCACCAGAUGGGUAAUCAGAAUUCACGUGGAAGGAAAAGGAAGGUUUCCUUUGUCUGACAUAGAAACGAGCCCUAAGGGUUCCAAUUAUUCACCACGAGUUUGCAAAAGGGGUAGGCUAAGUCGCAAGAGUUGUAUUAGAUAAAAUUAUGACAAAAUUAUUUGAAUAAUAUAAAUGUUUGUCAUUGAUAAAA